rnacentral:rRNA from 1 species
CCUUACCAGCCUUUGACAUCCCGCGCUACGCAGAAGAGAUUUGUGGUUCCCUUCGGGGACGCGGUGACAGGUGCUGCAUGGCUGUCGUCAGCUCGUGUCGUGAGAUGUUGGGUUAAGUCCCGCAACGAGCGCAACCCUCGUCCUUAGUUGCCAGCAUUAGGUUGGGCACUCUAAGGAAACUGCCGGUGAUAAGCCGGAGGAAGGUGGGGAUGACGUCAAGUCCUCAUGGCCCUUACAGGCUGGGCUACACACGUGCUACAAUGGCGGUGACAGUGGGCAGCAAGCACGCGAGUGUGAGCUAAUCUCCAAAAGCCGUCUCAGUUCGGAUUGUUCUCUGCAACUCGAGAGCAUGAAGGCGGAAUCGCUAGUAAUCGCGGAUCAGCAUGCCGCGGUGAAUACGUUCCCAGGCCUUGUACACAC